rnacentral:rRNA from 1 species
UACGGGGGGGCAAGCGUUGGUUCGGAAUUACUGGGCGUAAAGGGCUCGUAGGCGGCCAACUAAGUCGGAUGUGAAAUCCCAGCGUUAACCUGGGAACUGCAUCCGAUACUGGAUGGCUUGAAUUCGGGAGAGGGAUGCAGAAUUCCAGGUGUAGCGGUGAAAUGCGUAGAUAUCAAGAGGAACACCUGAGGUGAAGACGGGUUGCUGGGCUGACACUGACGCUGGAGGCGACGAAAGCCAGGGGAGCAAACGGG